AUUGAACGCUGGCGGCAGGCUUAACACAUGCAAGUCGAGCGGGGGAAGGUAGCUUGCUACCGGACCUAGCGGCGGACGGGUGAGUAAUGCUUAGGAAUCUGCCUAUUAGUGGGGGACAACAUCUCGAAAGGGAUGCUAAUACCGCAUACGUCCUACGGGAGAAAGCAGGGGAUCUUCGGACCUUGCGCUAAUAGAUGAGCCUAAGUCGGAUUAGCUAGUUGGUGGGGUAAAGGCCUACCAAGGCGACGAUCUGUAGCGGGUCUGAGAGGAUGAUCCGCCACACGGGGACUGAGACACGGCCCAGACUCCGACGGGAGGCAGCAGUGGGGAAUAUUGGACAAUGGGGGGAACCCUGAUCCAGCCAUGCCGCGUGUGUGAAGAAGGCCUUAUGGUUGUAAAGCACUUUAAGCGAGGAGGAGGCUACGUUAGUUAAUACCUGGAGAUAGUGGACGUUACUCGCAGAAUAAGCACCGGCUAACUCUGUGCCAGCCGCCGCGGUAA
rnacentral:rRNA from 1 species